CCCUUUGGGUGUGACUGCGUACCUUUUGUAUAAUGGGUCAGCGACUUAUAUUCUGUAGCAAGGUUAACCGAAUAGGGGAGCCGGAGGGAAACCGAGUCUUAAUUGGGCGUUAAGUUGCAGGGUAUAGACCCGAAACCCGGUGAUCUAGCCAUGGGCAGGUUGAAGGUUGGGUAACACUAACUGGAGGACCGAACCGACUAAUGUUGAAAAAUUAGCGGAUGACCUGUGGCUGGGGGUGAAAGGCCAAUCAAACCGGGAGAUAGCUGGUUCUCCCCGAAAGCUAUUUAGGUAGCGCCUCGUGAAUUCAUCUCCGGGGGUAGAGCACUGUUUCGGCUAGGGGGCCAUCCCGGCUUACCAACCCGAUGCAAACUGCGAAUACCGGAGAAUGUUAUCACGGGAGACACACGGCGGGUGCUAACGUCCGUCGUGAAGAGGGAAACAACCCAGACCGCCAGCUAAGGUCCCAAAGUCAUGGUUAAGUGGGAAACGAUGUGGGAAGGCCCAGACAGCCAGGAUGUUGGCUUAGAAGCAGCCAUCAUUUAAAGAAAGCGUAAUAGCUCACUGGUCGAGUCGGCCUGCGCGGAAGAUGUAACGGGGCUAAACCAUGCACCGAAGCUGCGGCAGCGACACUGUGUGUUGUUGGGUAGGGGAGCGUUCUGUAAGCCUGCGAAGGUGGCCUGUGAGGGUUGCUGGAGGUAUCAGAAGUGCGAAUGCUGACAUAAGUAACGAUAAAGCGGGUGAAAAGCCCGCUCGCCGGAAGACCAAGGGUUCCUGUCCAACGUUAAUCGGGGCAGGGUGAGUCGACCCCUAAGGCGAGGCCGAAAGGCGUAGUCGAUGGGAAACGGGUUAAUAUUCCCGUACUUGGUGUUACUGCGAAGGGGGGACGGAGAAGGCUAUGUUGGCCGGGCGACGGUUGUCCCGGUUUAAGCGUGUAGGUGUGUGUUCCAGGUAAAUCCGGUUCACUUUAACACUGAGGCGUGACGACGAGGCACUACGGUGCUGAAGCAACAAAUGCCCUGCUUCCAGGAAAAGCCUCUAAGCAUCAGGUAACAUCAAAUCGUACCCCAAACCGACACAGGUGGUCAGGUAGAGAAUACCAAGGCGCUUGAGAGAACUCGGGUGAAGGAACUAGGCAAAAUGGUGCCGUAACUUCGGGAGAAGGCACGCUGACACGUAGGUGAAGUGAUUUACUCAUGGAGCUGAAGUCAGUCGAAGAUACCAGCUGGCUGCAACUGUUUAUUAAAAACACAGCACUGUGCAAACACGAAAGUGGACGUAUACGGUGUGACGCCUGCCCGGUGCCGGAAGGUUAAUUGAUGGGGUCAGCGCAAGCGAAGCUCCUGAUCGAAGCCCCGGUAAACGGCGGCCGUAACUAUAACGGUCCUAAGGUAGCGAAAUUCCUUGUCGGGUAAGUUCCGACCUGCACGAAUGGCGUAAUGAUGGCCAGGCUGUCUCCACCCGAGACUCAGUGAAAUUGAACUCGCUGUGAAGAUGCAGUGUACCCGCGGCAAGACGGAAAGACCCCGUGAACCUUUACUAUAGCUUGACACUGAACAUUGAGCCUUGAUGUGUAGGAUAGGUGGGAGGCUUUGAAGUGUGGACGCCAGUCUGCAUGGAGCCGACCUUGAAAUACCACCCUUUAAUGUUUGAUGUUCUAACGUGGACCCGUUACCCGGGUUGCGGACAGUGUCUGGUGGGUAGUUUGACUGGGGCGGUCUCCUCCUAAAGAGUAACGGAGGAGCACGAAGGUUGGCUAAUCCUGGUCGGACAUCAGGAGGUUAGUGCAAUGGCAUAAGCCAGCUUGACUGCGAGCGUGACGGCGCGAGCAGGUGCGAAAGCAGGUCAUAGUGAUCCGGUGGUUCUGAAUGGAAGGGCCAUCGCUCAACGGAUAAAAGGUACUCCGGGGAUAACAGGCUGAUACCGCCCAAGAGUUCAUAUCGACGGCGGUGUUUGGCACCUCGAUGUCGGCUCAUCACAUCCUGGGGCUGAAGUAGGUCCCAAGGGUAUGGCUGUUCGCCAUUUAAAGUGGUACGCGAGCUGGGUUUAGAACGUCGUGAGACAGUUCGGUCCCUAUCUGCCGUGGGCGCUGGAGAACUGAGGGGGGCUGCUCCUAGUACGAGAGGACCGGAGUGGACGCAUCACUGGUGUUCGGGUUGUCAUGCCAAUGGCACUGCCCGGUAGCUAAAUGCGGAAGAGAUAAGUGCUGAAAGCAUCUAAGCACGAAACUUGCCCCGAGAUGAGUUCUCCCUGAGACUUAGAGUCUCCUGAAGGAACGUUGAAGACGACGAC
rnacentral:rRNA from 1 species